rnacentral:misc_RNA from 1 species
AUACUGGUCAUUAUAUUGUCAUCUGUGGCUAUGACAGUGACGCAGAUGAGUUUGAGAUUCGUGAUCCUGCCAGUUCAAGGAAAUAUGGAAGGGUCACCUCAAAAUGUUUAGAAAAGGCCCGCAAAUCCUUCGGAACUGAUGAGGAUCUUCUACUGAUCCGUGUUGAAAGAGAGGAGGCUAAAAGCAGCCAUCAUGAUCAUUGUUUAACACAGUUACUCUAAAAUAAACUGAUCAAUCAUGUUCCGUUUUGUUGUUGUGUGUAUUCUUUAAGUUGGUCAAUAGCAG